UACGUAGGUGGCAAGCGUUGUUCGGAAUUAUUGGGCGUAAAGCGCGCGCAGGUGGUUCCUUAAGUCUGAUGUGAAAGCCCACGGCUCAACCGUGGAGGGUCAUUGGAAACUGGGGAACUUGAGUGCAGAAGAGGAAAGUGGAAUUCCAAGUGUAGCGGUGAAAUGCGUAGAGAUUUGGAGGAACACCAGUGGCGAAGGCGACUUUCUGGUCUGUAACUGACACUGAGGCGCGAAAGCGUGGGGAGCAAACAGG
rnacentral:rRNA from 1 species